rfam:Tupaia chinensis contig4977, whole genome shotgun sequence.
GUGCUCGCUUCAGCAGCACAUAUACUAAAAUUGGAACCAUACAGAGAAGAUUAGCAUGGCCGCUGCACAAGCAUGGUGACAGAGGGUAUGGGGAAAUCGAAGGGUAA